rnacentral:lncRNA from 1 species
CACGCCCGGUUAAGUUUUAUAUUUUUGUAGAGACGGGGUUUCACCAUGUUGGCCAGGCUGGUCUUGAACUCCUGACCUCAGGUGAUCUGCCCGCCUUGGCCUCCCAGCCUGUUUUGUUUUAAAAAUGAGAGAGACGUGAACAAAUACAAAAGCUGAUGGAUCCAGUAGAAAGACUGAAGAGGGGCAGGGCACAGUGGCUCAUGCCUGUAAUCCCAGCACUUUGGGAAGCUGAGGUGGGCAGAUCAUGAGGUCAGGAGUUUGAGACCAGCCCGACCAACAUGGCAAAACCCCGUCUCUACUAAAAAUACAAAAAUUAGCCAGGUGUGGUGGCACACGCCUGUGAUACCAGCUACUUGGGAGGCUGAGGCAGGAGAAUCACUUGAACCCGGGAGGCGGAGGUUGUGGUGAGCCAAGAUCGUGUCAUUGCACUCCAGCCUGGGUAACAAGAGCAAGACUCUGUCUAAAAAAAAAAAAAAAAGAAAGAAAGAAAAAGAAAAGAAAGAAAGCUUGAAGAAGAGGGAGCAAGAGCAGGCAGUGGAGAAUGAGGUCCCUAAGGAGUAGACUGGAGGAGUAUAUUGGUGUCUCAGACCAGAGCCUCAGUGGGGAUUCCCAGGGGCUGGUGUGGCUAAAUCUUUUUUGCUCAUCUGUUCCUGCUGGCUGAUGUUUACCUCGUUCCCCCAAUACAUAUAUCAAGAGCCUUUUGAAUUUGAGCUGAACCAGCUAAAGACUGCGCACCAGCUAGAC